ensembl:miRNA mir138 microRNA mir-138
GGUGUGUGUGUUGCAGCUGGUGUUGUGAAUCAGGCCGAUGACACACACCUCCUAAAAGCCGGCUAUUUCACAACACCAGGGUGGCACCGCAUCACU